rnacentral:rRNA from 1 species
UAUUGGUCAAUGGACGAGAGUCUGAACCAGCCAAGUCGCGUGAGGGAAGACUGCCCUAUGGGUUGUAAACCUCUUUUAUAAGGGAAGAAUAAGUUCUACGUGUAGAAUGAUGCCUGUACCUUAUGAAUAAGCAUCGGCUAACUCCGUGCCAGCAGCCGCGGUAAUACGGAGGAUGCGAGCGUUAUCCGGAUUUAUUGGGUUUAAAGGGUGCGUAGGCGGUUUAUUAAGUUAGUGGUUAAAUAUUUGAGCUAAACUCAGUUGUGCCAUUAAUACUGGUAAACUGGAGUACAGACGAGGUAGGCGGAAUAAGUUAAGUAGCGGUGAAACGCAUAGAUAUAACUUAGAACUCCGAUAGCGAAGGCAGCUUACCAGACUGAAACUGACGCUGAUGCACGAGAGCGUGGGUAGCGAACAGGA